AGUGAACGCUGGCGGCAGGCCUAAUACAUGCAAGUCGAACGGCAGCACAGCAGAGCUUGCUCUGUGGGUGGCGAGUGGCGGACGGGUGAGGAAUACGUGGGAAUCUGCCCAGUCGUGGGGGAUAACGUAGGGAAACUUACGCUAAUACCGCAUGCGCCCUUCGGGGGAAAGCCGGGGACCUUCGGGCCUGGCGCGAUUGGAUGAGCCCACGUCGGAUUAGCUAGUUGGCGGGGUAAAGGCCCACCAAGGCGACGAUCCGUAGCUGGUCUGAGAGGAUGAUCAGCCACACUGGAACUGAGACACGGUCCAGACUCCUACGGGAGGCAGCAGUGGGGAAUAUUGCACAAUGGGCGAAAGCCUGAUGCAGCGACGCCGCGUGAGGGAUGAAGGCCUUCGGGUUGUAAACCUCUUUCAGCAGGGAAGAAGCGAAAGUGACGGUACCUGCAGAAGAAGCACCGGCUAACUACGUG
rnacentral:rRNA from 1 species